GAUGAACGCUGGCGGCGUGCUUAACACAUGCAAGUCGAACGAUCAAGCCCAGCUUGCUGUGUGCAGUCGUGGCGAACGGGUGAGUAACACGCGCGUAACCUGCCCUUCUCUCUGGGUUAAGCCAGGGCAACUGGGUCUAAUACCGGACAGGUGCUUUCACCGCACGCUUGGUUUUGUAAAGAUUUACCGGUUUUCGAUCGAUGCGCGGCCAAUCAGCUAGUUGGUGAGGAAUUGGUUCACUAAGGGGUCGCCGGGUAGCCGGCACGUGAGGGGCAACGGCGACCCUGGGACUGAGAGACGGCCCAGAAGGCUACGGGAGGCAGCAGGGGGGAAUAUUGCAGAAUGGGCGCAAGCCUGAGGCAGAGACGCCGCGUGAGGGAUGAUGGCCUUCGGGGUGUAAACCUCUGUCUGUGGGGAAGAAGAGAAAGUGACGGUACCUGCAGAAGAAGCACCGGCUAACUACGUG
rnacentral:rRNA from 1 species